CUGGACCUGCCAAGAGCUUAAGAG
rnacentral:piRNA from 1 species